UGUUGGUUCUCCCGCAACGCUACUCUGUUCACGAGGUCAGGUCCGGAAGGAAGCAGCCGGGGGCAGAAGACGUGUGUGCCGGGAUGUAGCUGGCAGGG
rnacentral:SRP_RNA from 1 species